rnacentral:rRNA from 1 species
UACGGGGGGGGUAAGCGUUGUUCGGAAUUACUGGGCGUAAAGGGCUCGUAGGCGGCCAACUAAGUCAGACGUGAAUUCCCUCAGCUUACCUGGGGAACUGCGUCUGAUACUGGAUGGCUUGGAUUUGGGAGAGGAAUGCGGAAUUCCAGGUGUAGCGGUGAAAUGCGUAGAUAUCUGGAGGAACACCGGUGGCGAAGGCGGCAUUCUGGACUGCAACUGACACUGAGGAACGAAAGCCAGGGGAGCAAACGGG